rnacentral:rRNA from 1 species
GACGAACGCUGGCGGCGUGCCUAAUACAUGCAAGUAGAACGCUGAAGGAGGAGCUUGCUCUUCUGGAUGAGUUGCGAACGGGUGAGUAACGCGUAGGUAACCUGCCUGGUAGCGGGGGAUAACUAUUGGAAACGAUAGCUAAUACCGCAUAACAGUAGAUGUUGCAUGACAUUUACUUAAAAGGUGCAAUUGCAUCACUACCAGAUGGACCUGCGUUGUAUUAGCUAGUUGGUGGGGUAACGGCUCACCAAGGCGACGAUACAUAGCCGACCUGAGAGGGUGAUCGGCCACACUGGGACUGGAACACGGGCCAGACUACUACGGGAGGCAGCAGUAGGGAAUCUUCGGCAAUGGACGGAAGUCUGACCGAGCAACGCCGCGUGAGUGAAGGAGGUUUUCGGAUCGUAAAGCUCUGUUGUAAGAGAAGAACGAGUGUGAGAGUGGAAAGUGCACACUGUGACGGUAUCUUACCAGAAAGGGACGGCUAACUACGUG